rnacentral:sRNA from 2 species
CUUUGAUCAAACUUCAUAUAUAUUCGUUGUCCAUCGCUCAUUUCUCCGACCGAUACAGCAAGGUUCGGUCUAAGAACGCACAUUGGGUGGAUGCGAAAGGUUCCAUAAAUCAUUGUUUGCAUGUUACAAACCAUGCACAACGUGUGUGCGGACCUCCACACAGCUCUCAAAUGUUACUCAGAUGCUGUUGACCCGUACAGUAUACUAUUGUUUCCUCCGACCUUGGCCAUAGUUCGGGAUACCAGGCGAAGAGAACUCAAGACGUAGAUACGUAUUCUCAAUAACAGAUGUGAGUUUCCACAUCAAUCUGCCACAUUUCCUGUCCGCUGGAAGCACGGGCCAUGACGUCCUAGAUGUAACCUCAAUUUAUCGCACCCGGGCUAUUGCAAUCCGAUAUAUCGGUUGAUGUCCCCACCCAAUCCGAUCUUUCGCGUCGCCAUAUAUACCCUUCGUCUAGAAGUUUAUGACCAACCUCUUCAUCCGAAUCUAGAUGGCCAUUGUGGUUAAACCGAGGUUUGCUUGACCACAUUCGACGGAUUAAGGAGAUAACAAAAAGAAGAAGAAAUAAAAUAUUCUGGACAAAAGUUACGGCCGAUGCAAACGGACCUUGAGUACUAUUUAUUGAUGGCAAUUACUAGUAUUCUGUGAGAAAAAUGACUAAUAGUUACCCG